GCUCAGUUGGUUGAAUGUAUAACUCUUGAUUUCGGCUCAGGUCAUGAUCCCAGGGUCAUAGGAUCAAACCCCAUAUUGGGCU
rnacentral:tRNA from 1 species